CCUACGGGAGGCAGCAGUGAGGAAUAUUGGUCAAUGGGCGCGAGCCUGAACCAGCCAAGUCGCGUGAGGGAAGACGGUCCUAUGGAUUGUAAACCUCUUUUGUCGGGGAGCAAAAGACGCCACGCGUGGCGUUCCGAGAGUACCCGAAGAAAAAGCAUCGGCUAACUCCGUGCCAGCAGCCGCGGUAAUACGGAGGAUGCGAGCGUUAUCCGGAUUUAUUGGGUUUAAAGGGUGCGUAGGCGGUCCGUUAAGUCAGCGGUAAAAGCCCGGGGCUCAACCCCGGCCCGCCGUUGAAACUGGCAGUCUCGAGUUGGAGAGAAGUAUGCGGAAUGCGCGGUGUAGCGGUGAAAUGCAUAGAUAUCGCGCAGAACUCCGAUUGCGAAGGCGGCCUGCUGGACAUUAACUGACGCUGAGGCGCGAAAGCGUGGGGAGCAAACAGGAUUAGAUACCCCGGUAGUC
rnacentral:rRNA from 1 species